CUGGUACCGGUGGUAUCAAGUACUGGUCACCCUCUUUUAAAUGAUGUAUCAUUACCGUCCAUUUAAAAAAAUUUAAUGGUUAAGAUUUGUUUGGAGUAUAGAAGCAUUGCUCAAAAAAUAUUGGCAUCUAUAAUUUGAUUGAAUAAUAUAUUUUAUUCAUGAGAUGAUUUAUUAUCUUAUUCCAAGAGAGUGGCUUGAUGGCCGAAUAUGGUAUGGCAUGUUAAACAUUUAAUC
rnacentral:lncRNA from 1 species